rnacentral:rRNA from 1 species
UUGGGCACUCUAGCGAGACUGCCGGUAAUAAACCGGAGGAAGGUGGGGAUGACGUCAAAUCAUCAUGCCCCUUAUGACCUGGGCUACACACGUGCUACAAUGGUUAGUACAACGAGUUGCGAGUCGGUGACGGCGAGCUAAUCUCUUAAAGCCAAUCUCAGUUCGGAUUGUAGGCUGCAACUCGCCUACAUGAAGUCGGAAUCGCUAGUAAUCGCGGAUCAGCACGCCCGCGGUCGAAUACGUUCCGGGCCUU